GCCGGGUGUGGUGGUGCACACCUGUAGUCCCAGCUACUCUGGAGGCUGAGGUGGGAGGGUCACUUGGACCCAGGAGGCCUCAGAGGUUGCAGUGAGCCAAGAUUGCGUCACUGCACUCUAGCCUGGGUAACAGAGUGAGACCCUGUAUUUA
rnacentral:SRP_RNA from 1 species